rnacentral:rRNA from 1 species
CCUACGGGUGGCAGCAGUCGAGAAUCAUUCACAAUGGGGGAAACCCUGAUGGUGCGACGCCGCGUGGGGGAAUGAAGGUCUUCGGAUUGUAAACCCCUGUCAUGUGGGAGCAAAUUAAAAAGAUAGUACCACAAGAGGAAGAGACGGCUAACUCUGUGCCAGCAGCCGCGGUAAUACAGAGGUCUCAAGCGUUGUUCGGAAUCACUGGGCGUAAAGCGUGCGUAGGCUGUUUCGUAAGUCGUGUGUGAAAGGCGCGGGCUCAACCCGCGGACGGCACAUGAUACUGCGAGACUAGAGUAAGGGAGGGGGAACCGGAAGUCUCGGUGUAGCAGUGAAAUGCGUAGAUAGCGAGAGGAACACUCGUGGCGAAGGCGGGUUCCUGGACAUUAACUGACGCUGAGGCACGAAGGCCAGGGGAGCGAAAGGGAUUAGAUACCCCGGUAGUC